rnacentral:lncRNA from 1 species
AUCAUCAUCAGCCUAUCGCAGUCCACUGCUGGACAUAGGCCUCUCCAAAUCUUUAUAGUAAUAUCGUCAACAAAAAUGAAACAUAUUCAAACGUAUUACUAUAUUUCUCCGUAUAAAUUCAUAGUUGUACAAAAUUCUUAAAAAGUGUGUUUAAAUUCGUUAGAGCAUAAUAGUUAUUUGUUAUACAAGAGUGCAAAGUUGCUUUUUAACCGCGGGCUCAAUUUUGAUGACCGAGCAAGCGAAGGAUUCUGCGAGUGUUUCAAUAAUUAGAAUCCUGAGCGAUAGCGAGGGAAUCAAAAGAGCACAAGGUGAAAAAUCUUUUCACUCGAGUGCAACACGUAACUUUUCAUCCCACCUCAUCGAGGAAAUUUAAAAACAAAAUGGCGCGCACAUAUGAGUAUCAAAUUAAAAAGAAGUACCUAUUAAAGUUCAUUUAUUUGAAAACUCAGUUUUAAAUUAAACGAGGUCAAAAAUCUAUGUAAAAACAACAAUAAAAAUUACUGAAUUAAUUGAAUAAUUAUUUAAAGCAGUAUUUUAUUUGUUGAAUAUGUAUUUGUUUGAAAAGUCUUAUCAAGAUUGUCACAAAUGGAGUAUUGCACACGAUGUUCUAAAUUCAAAUCACUUUGCCGCUCUAGAGGAUAAAAACGACUUUUGCGCUCAGAUAUCAAAGGUAAAAAUACUCUUUCCGAGAUGGUGGGAUGAAAAAUAAUUUAAAUUAAUCAUACAUCACAUACACAACUAUUUUGUAGAAAAAAGACAAAUGUGUUGUUCUUUUGUAAUUUAAUUUGAAGUGGUGUAAAUCAAAUAUAAAAUAGGUGCAGUAUGUCAUAAAAGUACAUAGAGUCUUUAUCACAUAGUAUUUUUAUUUUUAAGUCAAGGGUGAAAUCAAGGGUUUAUUGAAUGGUGUAAAACUUUAUGUGUACAUAAUAUCAACAAGUUUAGUGUUCUGUUAUUUUAGAAGUUACAUAUAAAAAAUAUACAACAAAAUAUAAUUUUUAUUUGUUAAAAAGUACUUAACCAAUUCAUAAAAGCUGUAAAAUAUACUAAAAGCCAACCCAUACCACAUUAGAUAUUUACACACUUUUUUUAUUUUAUACUUAUCUUAUUCACCGACUGUAAUUUUGAGACAUUUUUGAACUGUAAUCAAAAAGUAAUUUACCUAAAUCCUACUUACAUAGUCCCUAGUUAUAAUUUCAAACAAAAUAUUUAUAGAAAAUAAAUUAUAAAGAGCCUAAAAAUAAUAACACAUUCAAUGUUAUAAGUAGCAACGCACAAUAAUAUAUAACAUAGGCAUAUAAUAUACAUAUGUAUAUGUAUUUUUAAGAUUGCAUCGAAAAGAACUUUACAAAAGUUAUAAAGUUACAUUAUGUAAGUAUAACAUCACACUUUCUAUAGUUUUAGUAAUUUAUUAGUGUUCAAUCGGUACUUAAGGGAACAAUGUUAUAUUUUAAUUUAAAUGCAGGACAUUUAUGAUAUUAUAUAUUUUGUUGUUGACUUGAUUUGAAUGUCACUUUAAAUAAAAAAGGAAAAAUAU